AAGCUCCUCAUCCAUGUCAUCACCACCGUCUCCGCCGCCGCCGGAGGAGGCCCCGGCCCCGGCAGGCCUCACGGCGACGGAGCACGCCGCCGUCCGAUCCAUCAUCGACUCCUACCACCGCUACCGCGUCUCCCCCGGCCAGUGCUCCUCCCUCCUCGCGCAGCGCAUCCGCGCCCAUCCCGCCGCCGUCUGGGCUGUCGUCCGCCGCUUCGACCGGCCGCAGACGUACAAGCACUUCAUCCGCAGCACGGCGAUCGUCGGCGGCGGGGAGGUCCGCGUCGGCUGCCUUCGCGAGGUCUGCGUCGUCUCCGGCCUCCCAGCGAGCACGAGCACUGAGCGGCUGGAUAUCCUCGAUGAGGAGAACCGGAUCGCCGGAUUCAGCAUCAUUGGCGGCGAGCACAGGUUGAGGAAUUACAGAUCUGUGACUUCGGUGACCGAAUACGCCGGUUACAGUAUUGUGCUGGAGAGCUAUGUGGUGGAUGUGCCGGAGGGGAACACCGAGGAGGAUACGCGGCUGUUUGCUGAUACGGUGAUAAGGCUGAAUUUGCAGAAGCUGGCGGCCAUCACAGAGAGGGCGCCGGCGCCGGGGCCGGCGCCGGCGGGGGAAGAGGGGGGAUUGUAGGAGUGGGAGUUAAAUGGCUCAAUUGGU
rnacentral:misc_RNA from 1 species